UGCAAUGGAGUUUUCACUUGC
rnacentral:siRNA from 1 species